rnacentral:lncRNA from 12 species
GCUGGGGUCUUAUCAUGCAGAUCGCCUCAUCUCCUCUUCCUCUAGGGGAAGAGAAGGCCCUGGGGCAGAUUACUUCACUGGUGCUCAUCCCAACAUUCCGGACUGACCGGUUAAGGCCACAUUUCUGGGGAAGGUUGAAACUGCAACUAGAUUAGGUCUCAAACUGUGGUUUGGGAACUCACCCCGAGUGGUGUCAUUUUGACCCAGAGGUCAGUUUUUUUGUUUUGUUUUUUGUUUGUUUGUUUGUUUAACAGGGAUUAAGUCACAUGGUUCAGCCUGCUCCUGGCCACUGGGAAGGUUUAUCCCGGGAACUCAGCCCCCUGUCGUCCCCUGCUGCACCCAGGAACCAGGGCCCAGGCCCAGGCCCCGCGCCGAGGGAUUGGUGUUCGUCCCUGGGGGAUGUCUGUGUGAAAGCCUGGCUGCAUAUCAAGAUUCACUUCAGAAGCUUAAAGACUAAAAAUACUGCUGCCCGGCCCUCAGCCCUGGAUUUUCGAUUUGGUGCAGUUUGGGGAUGUAGGUGAGGUUUGCUGGGGUGAGGUCCGGAGCCGAUGGCCAAGAAAGAAUUCUCGAGAUGUCUUUGGUGCAAAAUGGCAGUUUUUAUUAAAGCAGGGGGACAGGACCGGUGGGGAGGAUGAGCUGCUGCCCCGGGCUUGUGAGGGGUGGCUGAUUAGGUGGUAGACUCGGUCAGGUUGAGGUUGUUUUCCCUCUAGCAAAGCAUUAACAUUAAGACGGUUGGGAGUUAGGGUAUGGAAGUUAGGGUAUGGAUAAGAAUCCUUUUUGCCUUGUAAAUCCCCGAGAUAUUUGUAGACUGAGUGAGACACAGGUCUUGCUCCAUGGUGAUCUCUAGAAACCAACCAUUUGCUUUUCCUUCCCUUAGCUUUAGGGCAGCCAGGAUGUCACAUGUGUCAGCUGUGCUUUGUCCUCAGUCGGCCUUCUGCUCCCUCAUCCGAUCUGCGGUUACUGCUAUGGUUCUAGAGGGAGGCCUAGGUUGCAGGGGUUAAGGCCCCCCCACCCCA